rnacentral:rRNA from 1 species
AUACGUAGGGUGCGAGCGUUGUCCGGAAUUACUGGGCGUAAAGAGCUCGUAGGUGGUUUGUCGCGUCGUCUGUGAAAUUCCGGGGCUUAACUCCGGGCGUGCAGGCGAUACGGGCAUAACUUGAGUACUGUAGGGGAGACUGGAAUUCCUGGUGUAGCGGUGAAAUGCGCAGAUAUCAGGAGGAACACCGGUGGCGAAGGCGGGUCUCUGGGCAGUAACUGACGCUGAGGAGCGAAAGCAUGGGUAGCGAACAGGAUUAGAUACCCUGGUAGUCCAUGCCGUAAACGGUGGGCGCUAGGUGUAGGGGUCUUCCACGACUUCUGUGCCGUAGCUAACGCAUUAAGCGCCCCGCCUGGGGAGUGCGGCCGCAAGGCUAAAACUCAAAUGAAUUGACGGGG